ACACUCCUGCGGGAGGCAGCAGUGGGGAAUAUUGCACAAUGGGCGCAAGCCUGAUGCAGCCAUGCCGCGUGUAUGAAGAAGGCCUUCGGGUUGUAAAGUACUUUCAGCGGGGAGGAAGGCAAUACGGUUAAUAACCGUGUUGAUUGACGUUACCCGCAGAAGAAGCACCGGCUAACUCCGUGCCAGCAGCCGCGGUAAUACGGAGGGUGCAAGCGUUAAUCGGAAUUACUGGGCGUAAAGCGCACGCAGGCGGUCUGUCAAGUCGGAUGUGAAAUCCCCGGGCUCAACCUGGGAACUGCAUUCGAAACUGGCAGGCUUGAGUCUUGUAGAGGGGGGUAGAAUUCCAGGUGUAGCGGUGAAAUGCGUAGAGAUCUGGAGGAAUACCGGUGGCGAAGGCGGCCCCCUGGACAAAGACUGACGCUCAGGUGCGAAAGCGUGGGGAGCAAACAGGAUUAGAAACCCCUGUAGUCC
rnacentral:rRNA from 1 species